UCAUUUUGACCUAAUCCGAAUUCAAUUUAAACAAAAAAAAAUAUUUUAAUUAUAAAAAUAUAUAAAUCAUUAUUUUAUCAACUUUUUUGAAACCAGACCUCAACCCGUCCCAUUAUCAACUCUACUCCAACUAAAGAACUGUAACAGUUAAACUGAACAAAACUUAACUACAAUGGGUAGGUUCUGUAAGAGAGAAAACAGGAAGAGCAGCAGCAGACAUAAAAAGAAACAGAGAAUUUAGUUAAAAUCAGUUAACCAUUGAAUGAUUUUCCCGGAAAAUUUGGCAAUGAUUUUCCUACCUUAAACAAACAACCAUUUUUAGUCUUUGUGGUUUAUAGUUUCUUUGUCAGCUGAACCUCAAAUUUGUGCUCCAAAAACAUUCACCGUUGAUACUUUGCCUGCAAAAACAGCAAACAAGAUUAACCACUCAAAAGAGCUUUAUCUCUUUUCAGUACUGAAAAAUUCAAAUAAAAAUCCUUGCUAGCCUCUCAUUUUCACUCAUUAAAAACAGACUGUUUUGUUUUUUGUUUUGUUUUUUAUAAUUGUUUUUCAACUUUGUUUCUUCUUCAAUUUUUUUGCUGUUAAAAAACGAGAAGAAGAAACACAGGAAUUGAAUGAUGGUUCAAACAUUGACUCGCCUGUAUAGUACUCGAAAUGUAGGAUCUUUUCGCCUGUUUGAUAAUCCAAUGAGACAUCACCACCACCAGCAACAAAACGCAACCGCGGCAGGCGGUAAUAACGAGCACGUGGAUGAUGUCGAUGAUAAUCUGCAACCAAGUGAAGAUAAAUCAAUGGGGCAGCAAAAUAUAGGAGAGCCUGUGGUAGAAACUCCCCAGGAGAGGCCACAAACAGGUGCGAGAAUUUUCUUUCCUACCAAACACGCUCAAACAUCCAUAUUCUUUUUCAGUUUUUCACCACCCCUAAUUCCAUUUCUUCCAGAUUUUUCACUCUGCUAAGCAAACCACUAAUCUUGUUUCCGUAUUUUUGCUUUACAAUCUAUGAACAAGAAAGCUAACGAAGAUGACGCUAAUCUUUUGUAAUGCAGCUAAGUGAACAAGAAUUCUUUUUCCUACCAAACACGCUCAAACAUUCAUAUUCUUUUUCAGUUUUUCACCUUCUUUUAUUCAUUCUUCUGUUUUUUUUUUCACUCUGCCAAGCAAACCACUAAACUCGUUUUCGUAUUUUUGCUUUACUAUCUAUGAACAAGAAAGCUAAUGAAGACAAAGCUAAUCUUUGUAAUGCAGUUAAGUGAGCCGGAAUUUUCUUCCCUACCUAAGACACUCAAACAUUAAUGUUCUUCUUUGGUUUUUCACCAUCCUAUAUCCAUUUCUUCCCUUUUUUCUACUCUGCCAAGCUAACCACUAAUCUCAUUUUCCUAAUUUUUGCUUUACAAUCUAUGAACAAGAAAGCUAAUUAUUUCCUUCUAAUAUAUAUAUGCAUGUAUAUAUUGAUACAGAUAUGGAGCAGAUGAAGGAAAGGUUUUCUAAGUUGCUUCUGGGAGAAGAUAUGUCAGGAGGAGGCAAAGGUGUUCCUUCGGCUUUGGCUUUGUCAAAUGCAGUGACAAACCUAGCAGGUAGAACAUUUCUUGUCUAAAAUUUACGGUAUAAUGAUAAACUUAUUUCUUUAUUUUUUUAGAGCUAAAUUUGACUCUAAAACUUUCAAAAAGGGUCAAAUUGCUUUUCUUAUAUGUUAGUUUACAUGUAUUUCACGCUAACAUGGCAUUAUUCAUCUUAUAUGCCACGUCAAAAAAUAAUUUUAAAAUUAUAAAAAUAUUCAAAAAUUGAAAAAAAAAUUCAAUAUUAAAAAAAAAAGCAUGAAGUACACAGUGAGUUGUGAUAUGGAUGCCAUAUUAGUCAGAGUUUCCAUUAAAAACAUCAACUCGACUCUUUUUUUAAAAGAUUAAAGAUCAAAUUGACUCUUUUUAACAAAUUGAGAACCAGAUUUAGUUAAAAAAUGAAUAAGGAUCAGAUCUGACAUUAUGUCAAAAUCUAAUUAUCAAAUGCAUAAUAAAAACCUCAAAGUUUAGCUUAGUUAGUUCAUGUAACCACUCAUAGGAAACAAAAUCCGGCAAUUUCAGGGUCGAAUCCCAUCGAUCUUCUAGCUUUCAUUUUUCAUUUCCAUGAUGAAAAAUGUUGAUAAUUUGAACAUAUUGGUAAAUGAUAAUUGCAGCAUCUGUUUUUGGGGAACAAGUGAAAUUAGGACCUAUGGCACCAGAAACCAAAGCAAGGUGGAGAAAAGAAAUGGAUUGGCUUCUAUCUGUAACCGAUCACAUUGUCGAAUUCGUUCCUUCGCAACAGAAAACGAAGAACGGAACGAACGUGGAGGUAACAUAUAACUCACAAAUCUUCGAACUAGUGCUACCAUUUCACUAUAUGAACUCACAACAACUUGUUUCGAAUUUGGACAGAUUAUGGUCACGAGACAAAGGAGUGAUCUGCUUGUGAACAUACCUGGUCUAAGAAAACUCGACACGAUGCUUAUUGUGAGUAACUUUAUCCUUCUAGUUAACUUGAUAAAAAUCGCUAAAAGUAUCAUGGAGGCCCAUGUACUAUAAUUCAGAUGUAUUUUACCAUUUCUACUGAAAAAAAAUGAGCCAAUCAAUCUCUGUACGAUAGAUUAAAGAACAAACUAGUCCUUUAUGUUAAAAAUUUCAUCAGUUUGUACUGUUAAAAACUAGUUCCUAUAUAUUAGCAUGAGGUACACAUGGCAUGCCAAGUGAUACUAUCUAGUUAUUUUGUUAGCCACGCCAAUUUUUAACAUGACAAAUGGAUGAAAUUUCUAACAGAAAUAAUCAAUUUGCUCUUUUAUCCAAUGUACAAAGACUAAUUUGCUUAUUUUUUGAAUAGAGAGGGUAAAAUGCAAUUCGAAAGAGGCUCCAUGAAACUUUUAGUGAUAAAGAUCAUAUGAUAAAUAAAUAUUUGAUCAAAAUUUAUAAUUAAAAAACAGGAGACUCUUGAUGGCUUUGGACAAGAAAAAGAAUUUUGGUAUGUCUCUAAAGAUGAUGACCAAGAGAAUGAAAACGGUCAAAGGGACGAUAAAUGGUGGCAUCCAACUGUUAAAGUACCUGUAAACGGGUUAUCGGAAAUGUCACGGAGAUGGCUGCAGUGUCAAAAGGAGUCAGUAAACCAGGUGCUAAAAGCAGCUAUGGCUAUCAAU
rnacentral:lncRNA from 1 species